UUACAAAAUAAAAACUAAUAAUAUUUUAUACCUUAUAUAAUUUUUUACACAGGAAUAAAAAGAACUAUUCCUGAAAAAAUAGCAUACUGCAAGAAACAUAGACUUUAAACAACCACCUAAAAUUUUAUUAUUAGGCAAGGUAAAACAAACUGCCUGCUUCAAAAAAUUACAUGUCAGGAUAUUUGUAAGUAUAACCAUGAACAUCAUUAUUUGUUUUAAAGUUAGAUGUAUCUUUCCCUGAAUGCAAGUUUUACUUUGCUAUUCGUUUAAAUAAAUUUG
rnacentral:lncRNA from 1 species